rnacentral:rRNA from 1 species
AUUGAACGCUGGCGGCAGGCCUAACACAUGCAAGUCGAACGGUAGCACAGAGAGCCUGCUCUCGGGUGACGAGUGGCGGACGGGUGAGUAAUGUCUGGGAAACUGCCUGAUGGAGGGGGAUAACUACUGGAAACGGUAGCUAAUACCGCAUAACGUCGCAAGACCAAAGAGGGGGACCUUCGGGCCUCUUGCCAUCAGAUGUGCCCAGAUGGGAUUAGCUAGUAGGUGGGGUAACGGCUCACCUAGGCGACGAUCCCUAGCUGGUCUGAGAGGAGGACCAGCCACACUGGAACAGAGACACGGUCCAGACUCCUGCGGGAGGCAGCAGUGGGGAAUAGUGCGCGAUGGGCGCAAGCCUGAUGCAGCCAUGCCGCGUGUAUGAAGAAGGCCUUCGGGUUGUAAAGUACUUUCAGCGGGGAGGAAGGUGAUAAGGUUAAUAACCUUGUCGAUUGACGUUACCCGCAGAAGAAGCACCGGCUAACUCCGUGCCAGCAGCCGCCGUAA